GACGAACGCUGGCGGCGUGCCUAAUACAUGCAAGUUGAGCGCUGAAGGUUGGUACUUGUACCAACUGGAUGAGCAGCGAACGGGUGAGUAACGCGUGGGGAAUCUGCCUUUGAGCGGGGGACAACAUUUGGAAACGAAUGCUAAUACCGCAUAAAAACUUUAAACACAAGUUUUAAGUUUGAAAGAUGCAAUUGCAUCACUCAAAGAUGAUCCCGCGUUGUAUUAGCUAGUUGGUGAGGUAAAGGCUCACCAAGGCGAUGAUACAUAGCCGACCUGAGAGGGUGAUCGGCCACAUUGGGACUGAGACACGGCCCAAACGCCUACGGGAGGCAGCAGUAGGGAAUCUUCGGCAAUGGACGAAAGUCUGACCGAGCAACGCCGCGUGAGUGAAGAAGGUUUUCGGAUCGUAAAACUCGGUUGGUAGAGAAGAACGUUGGUGAGAGUGGAAAGCUCAUCAAGUGACGGUAACUACACAGAAAGGGACGGCUAACUACGUG
rnacentral:rRNA from 1 species